AUACGGAGGACGCGAGCGUUAUCCGGAUUCAUUGGGUUUAAAGGGUGCGCAGGCGGCCGUGCAAGUCAGCGGUGAAAGCCCGGGGCCCAACCCCGGAAGUGCCGUUGAUACUGCGUGGCUGGAAUGCGGUCGAGGCGGGCGGGACGGGGGGUGGAGCGGGGAAAGGGGGAGGUAUGCCACAGAACGCCGAUAGCGGAGGCAGCUCGCCAGGCCUGUAUUGACGCUCGGGCACGAAAGCGUGGGGAUCGAACAGGAUUAGAUACCCUGGUAGUCCACGCCGUAAACGAUGGGCGCUCGUCGUCGGCGACAGACAGUCGGCGGCCAAGCGAAAGCGAUAAGCGCCCCACCUGGGGAGUGCGGUCGCAAGGCUGAAACUCAAAUGAAUUGACGGGG
rnacentral:rRNA from 1 species